CCCGCCUCGGUUAAAAAUUGUGGCAGAACCUCCUGAAUUAAGUGGCCCACAUGCACCCAUCAUUGUCUCAAAGACUUCUGAUCAGCGUGCACGAGUUCCAAAUGACUCAAGAAGUCUGUCGGGUGUCCUCGGGAAACCCGAAUCAUCCACGUUUUAACUCAUACAGGAUCAACAUGGAGUUACCACAACAUUACAACAUCUGUUACAAAAAUAACUUACAUCAGAGUGCGGAAGGUUUAUAACUUAAUUUACAACAUGUGAUGAAUUAGAAACUUAACUAAAAUUUUAAAAGGUGUGUAGAGUAGCGAAAGCAUCUUAGGUGAAGCUUCUAAGGUAGAAGAGGUGGAUAAAUCAUGUCGCGCCCACCGACAUGACCUCCAAAAGCAGUCUAAGUCAGCACCUGCAACAGGGGUUAUAAAACCCUGAGUACAAAAGUACUCAACAAGACUUAACCGACUAGAAAAGAGGUGAAGACUCGGGUAUGCAGGCUAUAGGGAUUCAAGGUAAAGCUUUAUCAAGAUAAAGCAUUUCUUUUGCAUAAAAGCUUACUAAGAGUAAAACCUACUUUCAAGUUUUAACUCAAAAUCAUCAUUUAUGACUAACCCAAAACUAUUAUCAAACUUUCAUAAGCAUACCACCUCUUUCUCUUACCAAAGAUCCAUUUAUUACUACGAUGAUGGUACGAGGAUUGAGGCUCCAUAUCCGAGGAAACACGGCGAUUCGAAUCGAUUAAACCCAGCUGGGGAUUCAGUACCACACGACAUAUGUAGAACUUAAUCUUGCAUAUGUCAACCUUUUCUAUAGAUCCUCCCAUACAAGAACGGGUCCAGCGUCACCCGAGAGUACAGUACACCACCAUCCUACAGCCAAUCUAGAUGUUUCCCGGUCAUCUCAGAUCCGUAAGGUGGGUACACGCUACUCUCGCCAUCUCUCCACUCCCAGUACGCGGUUAGCCGUUCUCAAGUAUCGGAAUAGCUAUAGGUAAGGCUUACCACCGCAUGUGGGCUGUACUCAAAGGUCUCAAUCACAACAGGCCAACAACGGUACAGUCCUUAAUCGACACAGUUGGAGACACUACUUUAAGACUCCAUUCUUAAAGCAAGUCCACCGACCGGUCUCAAGUUUAAACAUCAUUAACCAUAAAAGUAUUCCACAACAACCCUUCAAACUUUCUCAUUUGAAAACCUAUCUAAUAAGCAGGGCUAAGCAUACUAAGUAUUUUCAUAAAACAAGUAUCAAGGGUAAUAUUGAAAUCAUCAAGGUAGAUAAUGCAGCAAAUAGGAUUCACUCAACUCCUAUUCACCUAAUGCAUCAUAUUAACUCAAGUGAUAUAAAUAACUUUAUGAAAAUACAAGGGUAGGGUUUAAUGUCCGGGGCUUGCCUUGGCCGGAAGGGUUUAAAUUUCAUACCAUUUGUAUAAGUAUAGCAAAUUCCAUAAAAAAGAUAAAUUUCCAUCACAAGGAAGCAUGUAACAACAAGAUAAAUAAGAAACUCGAUAUGUUCUACACACACAUAGCUAAAUUAUGUAUCUAUAUGAUAUAACAACCUCAUAUAAAGGUAGAGGAACCAUAUUUUACAUUUAUUCAUUUUUAGUUUAAUUGUAAACUAUUUAAUAAGCACUACACAAGAUAAAUCAAUAACUUAAUCAUAUGUCAUCCAAAGAAUCUAAAAACUUAACCACAGCACACACACAUAAUCAUUAAUCUACCAUAAAAUUUUCAUCUUAAAAGAAGCUAUACAGCAAUAGAUAUGAAUUUCUUCCUUUUAAGCAUAAUUAAAAGACAUAAUUCAUAACUAAUUAUUUUACUACAAAACAUGGACAGUUUCACAUUUUUAAUAAAAACGAGACAUCUUAAGGAGUACAACAAAAAUUGGUUCACCAAAAUUGGAGUUAACAAACUCCAGAUAUGAAUUUUCAAAGAUUCAACAAAACAUCCACAAACAAGUCCUUAUAGCACUAUUCACCUGAGUCACAGCCUGUGCAAUUAGACCCCUGGAGAACAUCAAAUUGUUGCCCGAAGUCCCUGGUCGCGAACUGGAAACAGGGAACUCGCCGGAGAUCGUGGUUUCGGCGUUGGAAAGCUCGUCGGCGGCAUUGGAGCAGCGGGGAAGCUUGCCCGGACUAGUGCGCACCUGCUGGUGGCCGUAGCUUGUCCCGCAAUGGCUCGAGGUGGCCUGGCCACGUUGAGGUGCUCCUCGGCGGCGUUUUUGGCCGGAGUGGAGGAAGAACGGACGUAGCCGGGGCUAGAAAUGGUUAGAGCUUGCACCAAGGGGCGCAAUCGGUGGCUUGGUUCGAGGCGGAGCUGCUGGUGCACUCGAACGGCUUGGAAACGGAGCGAGGGACGCGAAUUGGAGGAGCGCAGCAAGGUCGCCGGCGUCGGGUGCAAGGGGAAAGAACGA
rnacentral:lncRNA from 1 species